GACAGAGGAUGCAAGCGUUAUCCGGAAUGAUUGGGCGUAAAGCGUCUGUAGGUGGCUUUUAAGUCCGCCGUCAAAUCCCAGGGCUCAACCCUGGACAGGCGGUGGAAACUACCAAGCUUGAGUCCGGAAGAGGCGAGUGGAAUUCCUGGUGUAGCGGUGAAAUGCGCAGAUAUCAGGAGGAACACCAAUGGCGAAGGCAGCUUGCUGGGCCACUCCUGACACUGAGGUACGAAAGCGUGGGGAGCGAACAGG
rnacentral:rRNA from 1 species